rnacentral:rRNA from 1 species
GCGUGCGCUCGGGCUGGUCGGCCGUCAUGGUCUGCACCGUUCGGGUCACGCCCCACUGUAGGAUACUCACCGCUGUCCUUAACUGGGUGGCGGUCAAAGGCGGUUUUUCGGGGAGUGUGGGGGCAACUCUGCACACCGGCCGCUGGGGUUCCUACUCUUUUACUUUGAGCAAAUUAGAGUGUUCAAAGCAGGCAAUCGAGCCUUGAAUACUUCAGCAUGGGAUAAUGGAACAGGACUGGGGUCCUGAUUUCGUUGGUUUCUGGGAUUUCAGUA